AUCACUACCUAUCAGUACCUACAUGUUGACGGUUUUACUCUGUACUAUUAUGUGCGUAAUAAGAGCUACUGACAUCCGAACUGACAGAAGGAACGAUCAAUAUUAUGACGUCAUGUCAUUGAAAGUGUAUUAAGAGAAUGUUCAAUCCGGAUACGGAACUAGAGCUGGCACAACACACGGCCGUGGAAAUGUUGCAAAGGUGUAUGUGGCUAUUCAAAUCCUAUGAGCGAUGUCCAAUGUCGUUCAUUGACUGCGGUGUCUUGUAUAUUAUUAAUUGACUAAUAUAUUAGUGCUAUUUAACAGAAAUAAAAGCGUGAAAUUGUUUUUCAUG